rnacentral:rRNA from 1 species
UACGUAGGGCGCAAGCGUUGUCCGGAAUUAUUGGGCGUAAAGAGCUCGUAGGCGGCCUGUUGCGUCCGCUGUGAAAUCCCGGGGCUCAACUCCGGGUCUGCAGUCGAUACGGGCAGACUGGAGUUCGGCAGGGGAGACUGGAAUUCCUGGUGUAGCGGUGAAAUGCGCAGAUAUCAGGAGGAACACCGGUGGCGAAGGCGGGUCUCUGGGCCGAUACUGACGCUGAGGAGCGAAAGCGUGGGGAGCGAACAGG